GAUGAACGCUAGCGGCAGGCCUAAUACAUGCAAGUCGAACGGUGUCUUCGGACAUAGUGGCGCACGGGUGCGUAACACGUAUGCAACCUACCUUACAUUGGGGGAUAGCCUUUCGAAAGGGAGAUUAAUACCGCAUAAGACAGUAGCUGGGCAUCCAGCAGCUGUUAAAGAUUUAUCGAUGUAAGCUGGGCAUGCGUCCAAUUAGCUAGUUGGUGAGGUAACGGCUCACCAAGGCAAUGAUUGGUAGGGGAACUGAGAGGUCAAUCCCCCACACUGGCACUGAGAUACGGGCCAGACUCCUACGGGAGGCAGCAGUAGGGAAUAUUGGGCAAUGGACGCAAGUCUGACCCAGCCAUGCCGCGUGCAGGAUGAAGGCGUUAUGCGUUGUAAACUGCUUUUAUACAGGAAGAAACGACUCUUGCGAGAGGCAUUGACGGUACUGUAUGAAUAAGCACCGGCUAACUCCGUGCCAGCCGCCGCCGUAACAC
rnacentral:rRNA from 1 species